AUGGACACUCCGGCUUACAGACGUGUGUCUCCAGAGAGGCCCCUCGAUGCUGGAGCAGAUCGCUGGGUUUCUCCUCCGGAUCUCCAGGCCUGUUCAGAGAAGCAGCGCGGCUCCUCGGGAAUGUGCACACCAGCCACCCUGAUCAAUACAGAGGAGGAGGAGCAGCAGCGUUCCGACCUUAAGGCCCCUUCAAUUAUCUCUGCGCGAUGCAUGUGGGGCGAGCUGCGUUUCCUGUGGCUGCAUCGAUCCGUUAGAUCCGAUUCUACAGGAAACUGCGACCACAGGGCUCCGACUGACGCCGGCAGCGCUGGACCGGUAACGGCGGCGCAGUGA
rnacentral:lncRNA from 1 species